UUUUGCAAAAUAUCGGUCCUGUGAUGCCCAGAUAGCCAUUUGGAAAAAGAUAAAAGUAGAUUCAUUUGUCACCAUGUUCCCGAAUAAACUUCAAGUGACUGAGGCAUCUGGAUGUUAAAAAAGAUGAACGUAUGCAAGUACUGGAAGAGAGUGGACGAAUUCAUCUAAAACCUGGGUUUGGGAGAAGGCUUCUAAAGUAUGCUUCCAAAGGCAGAUGCAAGAAAAAAGAUCAGUGAGUUCCUUCAGAAAAAAUGAAACACUUCUGAAUGGCCAGAUCUGCAAAGACCAAGGACAGAUUGGGAGAAAUAAUUGCAGCAUCAGGCAGAGGUCUGCUGUUCCUCCUAUUCCAAGAACUUAAAGUUUCUUUCUUUUUUCUUUUUUUUUUUUUAAAUCAAAAAUCCUAUGGAAAACUUGAAUUUAUAAAAAGAGAUAAAAAUGGCUCUUAAAUGAAAAGGUGUUUACCCUCACUCGUAAUGAAAUCAAUGUCUGGUGUUCCCAUUGCGGCUCAGUGGAAGUGAACCCAACUAGCGUCCUUGAAGAUGUGGGUGCGGCCCCUGGCCUUGGUCAGUGGGUUGCGUAUCUGGUGUUGCUGUGAGCUGCAGUGUGGGUUGCAGAUGUGGCUCAGAUCUGGUGUGGCUGGCUGUGGCUGUGGCUGGCAGCUGCAGGUCUGAUUAGAUCUCUAGCCUGGGAACUUGCAUAUGCUGCAGGCGCUGCCCUAAAAGGACAAAAAAAAGAAAAACCUAGUAGAACUACACAGAUACUAUUUCUUUACUCAUCAGAUUGGUCAAAAUUCAAGACUGGCAAUACAACUCUUGAUGAGCUGCUGCGGAGACAGGAAUUCUUAGGCACUGCUGAUGGUAUGCAGAAUGGUACAGCCUCGUGUGAAGGGGAAUUCAGCCAUGUCUAACAAAACUAUGCAUUUGCUCUGAAGACACACCUGUACGAUACGAAAAUACAUAUGCACAAGGUUACUCAUUGCAGCAUUCCUCAUAGCUGCAAAAAAUAUCGGAAACUGCCUAUCAUCCACGACAAUUGAUGGGAGAACCUAUGGCACAUCCACUUGAUGGAGUAUUAUCCAGCUGAAAAAAAGGACGUUAUUGGAGCAAUUGACAAAGUGGAAAUACGAAAAAAAACCCCAGAAAUAUGGAUCUAAUUUUUUUUCUUUUUAUGGUCACACCUGCAGCAUAUGGAAGUUCCCAGGCUAAAGUCGAAUUGGAGCUGAAGCUGCCCGCCUACACCACAGCCACAGCCACACUGGAUCCGAGCCACAUCUUCGAACUAUACCACAGCUUUCGGCAACGCUGGAUCCUUAACCCACUGAGCGAGGCCAGGGAUCGAACCCUCAUCAUUACAGAUACUAUGUCAUGUUCUUAACCCACUGAGCCCCAACGGGAGCUCCCUGAAAUAUGGAUCUAGAGUAAAUUAUUGUAUCAAUCUUCAAGCACUAAUGUUGAUAACUGCUGUGGUUAUGUAAGAGAAUAUCCCUAUUCUUAGGAAGUACUGAAGUAUUUAGGGAUAAAGGACCAUAUUUUGUGUGUGUGUGUGUGUGUGUGUGUGUGUAGAGAGAGAGGUGGGGGGAGAGGGAAGGGGAGAGGGAGAUGGGGAGGGAAAGAAAGGUGGAGAGAAGACAGGAAAUGGGGUAAAAAAGUUAAUUGAGGUAAAGGAUUGAUGACUAUUACUGUUUUUGCAACAUUUUUUGUAAGCUUGAAAUUACUUUCAUAUAAAAAUUUCAAUGUUAAAAAAAAUGUAACAGGAUUUCCUAGUUAGUCGGGGAGGAAAAGAGUUCCAAGUCCUUGUCAGAUAAUUCCCCGAGGUGGGAGUGGGCGGGUGAGGCAGCCGUGAUGAGAUGUGCCAGUUUAACCAGGCUGGUCGUGCCCCGGAGCUGCAGACUUAGGCCCAUUCUGUUUGCACUUCGUGCAGGGUUGGCCAGAGCUCGGGUCACGGUGAACCUUUGAUUCAAGGCAAGUCCCAUUUCUCAGUGUUGCUCUUCACCCUGGGCCUUGGUGGUGUGUUGGUGUUGCCAGCCCUUAGGCUGGUUGGUUGUUCCAGGCUUUGUGAUCUCUGUAGGUGCUCAGGUGCUCUCACCGAUGUUACACUUCCUACCCCCAAUUAGAGACUGUUUUUCAUAAUUGUCUUGUUUUAGGCCCUUGUUUCAGUAAACGUCUUUUGCAGUUAACGCAUGUUCUGAUUAAUGCAUGUAUGCAGAUGCCCUCGUGGGCAUUCAGCCUCACAGUGCUUUGGAAUUAUUUCGCAAUUUAUGAUUUAUGAUUUACUUGGUACUCAGGACAGACCUCUAAAAUGGCCGAACGUGUAGUUUCAUAAAUGAAAUCUGGUGGGGUAAGUGGUUGGAGCAGCAGUGUGUUAAAAGGGAGAAGUUAGUCUAAGUUGAGAAUUGUUGACUGUGGGGUAGCAGAAGGGCUAGAUGUGGGGCAUCAGUUCAGAAGGCAGGACGGGAUUGCAGGUCCUGUUGUUUGUCUUCUUAAAUUCAGCUGAUAUGCUGGGCAUUAGGUACCCGGAAGCUUUGGCGCCACACGUCUAGGGUGUGAUCGAGUUUAUGUACCAUCUGGUGACCGGUCGGGGGGGGGGUUGCGUCUGGAAGCUCCCCCAACACCAGGCCUUAGAGAAGCCUCGGAGGAGCUCAGCUCCAGGGCACAUCAGUCCCUUCACCUGCUGUUACGUGGGCAGGAGCUGUUACACCCGGAGGCCUGCAGAGCUCCAGCACCCACACCUCAAAUGUGCCCCAGACACCUCUCUGUAAAUCCCACCCGCACCGAUCACAGGUCUCUGUCGAAGUCCUUUACCACGCGCAUGACACCCCGAAUGCGCCCGGUCUCGUCUGGGUUGAAGUACUUUAUAUUCCAGAAACUUGGGAGCCGUGGGGCCCGUGAGGCCAGCGCAUGUGGGGUUUGACUCUGGAAGAUCGUUUUCUCCUGGAACAGUGGCAUCUGGUUCAGAGGGGUCCGUGCGGGGGAUCUGGACGUGCUCCGGCCCAUUGUCUUAGCACGUUCCCUUGCCUUCCGUGACACUGCCGGCGGGGGGACGGCUGCCCCUGGGCGGCGCUCAGCGCUGCGCAAGAUCAGCUCUCCCAGCCUGCCCGGGUGUCACUGACAGCUCACUUGAGGUGGGGUUGGCACGUCCCUGUCAUACUUCAUGAUCCCAGUGAAAACUCUCCAGGAUAUUCCAGGUUGAGGUUUUGUCCUGCGUGUGCUUAGAUCGAUUAGACAAGGGGGCCGCUAGAUGAGAGGUGGUUGUAAUGCUUCGGCAGCCUAACAAGCAACCCAAAACCUCAGCCUGGGAACGCCUUGUGGACUGAAAAAAAAAAAAAAAAAAAAA
rnacentral:lncRNA from 1 species